GGUCCAUCUUAUCACUCACCUGUACAAGUCAAGAGUAUCAACAAAUUAAAAAUGUAAAGGAAGAAUUGGCACUAAAAUGUUUUUUCAUAUCUUUUGACAGUAAACUGCAUGCAAACAAUUGAGCCUUCUUGAUUGAUUCAAUCCUAUCAAUCCAUAAAACUCUCAACUUAUUGAAAAAAUUUCUUCCCCAUAAAUAUAUGCAACAAAAUACUUCAACUCGUGAUUAAAUCCCAGCAAAAAUCAAAAAGCCACGAGGGCAAGUGUCCUCAUUUAUUUCAAGGCAAACAUGAAUCCCAUGUGAGUUAAAGUUGGAUCAAAUUUUGAUGUUGAUUUUUUUCCCCCUUCUUAGCAAUGAAAUUCAGCAUACAAAUGCCUGUUACUAUUUUUCAGCAAGAUUCUAGUGUUAUGUAUGAUUUUAGGCUUUCAGACUCUACAAGUUAUAAGUGCCACUUACCUUGAUGCCAAGAGGGUUGGA
rnacentral:misc_RNA from 1 species